GAAUAAGUUACAUAUUAAUUAAAUAAAUACAAUUAAAUACUGAUUUAUUUUUGCCAUUGGGUCAUCCCCACACUAUCUGGUUACAGUACUAGGAUGAGAUGAAGAAAGAUUAGACAGUGACGUUAUCAAUCUGAAGAUUAUUCAGGAAGUUAUCAGCAUUGGAAGACAUAUUGAACUCCCAAUGAAUGGAGCUGACUGAAACAAUGGCAACAGUUGGCUCUGAUACUUCCUGAUCUUGAUUAUGACAAUGUCUCAGUCUCAUCCCUCUUUGUCUCAUUCUGGCUACAGAAAGCCUCAAGGGGGAAAGAAAUACCUUCACAACACAGACAGACAGGAAGGGGGAAGGAUCAGGCAUUUGAAGCAUAGCUUCACCUAGUCUCCUGUUGCUUUUCCUGGAAUAACCUAGCAUAGACAGUUCUCCCAACCAACCCACCAACCUCUCCAAUGAUUCUGAAAGUGAUACACUCCUAACAUGAGUCAGGUGAUAUCAGCACAGAUUUAGGGGAAGAGACUGGUUCAGAUGAAAACCAACAUACACCGUGGUUGUCCAGGACCAGACAGAGUACAGUAGGCCUAAAGCAUCUCCAUUCACAAGAGGUAGCAUGUUACUCUCCCGUGUUUCUCUCUCUCUCGUCAUCCUAAGUGCAGCAGACAGAGAACGUGUUUGACCACUGUGAUUAUCACGGUCGUCAGUCUGUCCCAUUGUCACCAUUCAACAUGGUUUUCUACAGUUCUACAGUGAAAGCUGCUCGUGAAAUGCUUCAAUAUGAAAGCUUGGCAGAUGAUUGGUAACUCUGCUUAGAAGCACCUGCUGCUGAUCUGUUGUUCCCUACAAAUGCUGUUUUGAAUUCAAAUACAUUUGUACCUACACACUGAAGAAGGCUGUGAAGCCGAAACAUCUGUGUAUGCUAUCCCUGACGCAGUGAAAACCCUCAAAUGAACUAAGCGUUAUGCAACAUCUUGUUGAGUGAGGACCCAUUAUGCCAUUUUGUUUAGAGUAACGACAAGACAGAGAUAUGGGGGCCUGGUAUUUCCCAAUAGCUGUGCCCUUCACAUACACCAUAUUGCACUUAGCGCAGUGGUUAUUAUUCAGAGACUGAGUGGGGAACAUCAGAACCAUAUAUAUAAAUAAAUGUCUCUGGGGAACAUUAGUAAGAUCACAGUUUGUUCACACAAUGGUCUUUAAGAAGGGUGUCGAGUCAGCUAGGAGGUUAGGAAAGCACACUAUGUGUUGUAUUCUCCCAAGGAACAUAACACAGGCCUGGUCCAAAAACAACCCCUAGCCCCUACACCCCUUUGGUUUUCUAAUCUACAUGAACCAGAUAGGCAGAAGAAAUAUGGAAGGCCUAUUGGAAGGCUAGGUGGAGCCGUCACCCUACUGCUAACAGAGGCUGUGGGUUGCUCUCAGGCCAGGCCAUAAUCAGUGCUCACAUACUUCACUAAUUGACAGGCCAUACAACUAAUCGGAAUCACAACAGCUGAAUUAAGUCUGUCAUGACCUCAGAACCAUUGGAUCUGGUAGAACAUCAUGUGGAAUAGAGAAUAUCUGCUCUGUAAAUACUGAACGUUCUGACCCUGAGAAUAAGCCCUUGGACUGCCUUGUCAAUCACUGAUAGCACGGAAACACAGACAACUUCAUCAUGAUCCAUGUUAGGGAGAAGUACAGUAUUCACCUCCUCAGCUCUUUACUGAUGGGACACCCCUGGUGGUCAUUUAAAAUGAAUAUGGCCAAUCCCAUACGGACCCCUAGCCUCUAGCCCCUCGUACCAGGGCACAACUUCUAGUAGGCUGGAUAGCUGUGUGCGAUAUGGGUAAAGUUCCACAUAGCCUAUCAGGGGAAUGGUGGAGCUAUUACCAUAUUGAUUAUAUCUAUCCAGAACUAUCCUCAAGUGCCUAGGGGCUAGAGGUUGAUUUGGAACUGGCCAAGAGAGAGAUUGUGGUCUCAGGGAACACCUGUGUCAUUUCCUGCAAUCAGAACAGCCUCUCUUUGGGACAGAUUUAUUUCUUGAUUCUACCUGUUUUUACAGUAUGGGAUAAGGCACUGAAAAAAUCUUAAGCUAAAAUCAUGAAAUUGUUUCAUGAAAUUAAUUGCCAUUGUUAUCCUGCGCAUAACCUUUAUUUGACCUUUUUAUCUCCAUAACAACAGGUGUAAACAGUGACUGUGGCCCUUACAGUGUGUAGAGCACCAAGCUGUUCCUCCAAACACUGUGGGAGGUCCUCAGUGGCCACCUGUUCUCAUGCGCUGAUGAGAACAUACACUCUGGUAAUAUGGUGGUGUUGCAGGCUCUGAAGCCUCUCAGAGUGAUUGCUAUUUAUCUCUUGGCUUAAUAGGAUGUUUACCAGGGUUUUUUUUCUUCUCUUAAAUAAAAAAAAGACAAGCAUUGAAUUGAACAUAGUGGUUCAUUAGGUUUUAGUGACCCACUCACAGUGUUAUAUAUUGCAGAAACAGACUAGUGUUGAGACCACAAUUAAAAUGGGCACGAAAUGUGGAAGCAGGCUUUGCGCUCUCGCUCUCGCUCUCGCACAGAUCAACCUUACAAAAUCAAUACUCAGAGACAUUGCAC
ensembl:lncRNA